ACCUCCACGACUUAGAUUAUAGAUUCCUAUACGACUCUCAGUAAAAAUUUAUCCGCACUCCAGAUAGUUAAAACUUCUGUCGACCGUAUUGAUCCAUCUGCACUCUUCGUAUGACGUCAAUAUCUGUUCAGUGCUGCUGCGCAGGUUUCUUUGUGUUACGUCAAUUCGUUUGUGACCGUUGCGCGAGUAAUGGCGCUUUGCAAUGGUGAUUUGCAGGAAAACAGUGCAGGAUGCUGUGAUUCGUUUCUUGUGGUCGGAGGUUAUGUUUGAUGCCUAUAUUUAUCAAAGAUUUAAUGCACAUUAUGGAGAAAGUGUUUUGUCACGAAGUGUGUUUGAAUGGGCACAAAAGUUCAAAGAAGAUCGCACGAGUGUUAUGAAAAAACAGCUGGACGCCCGUCCACAUCCACGAUGACAACAUUGAACGUGCUCAUGAACUUAUGCUCUAUGGAAUAGACGAGUGACACUGGAUAAUGUGGCAAAUCAUUUGCAAAUCAGCCACGGCUCUGCUUAUGCAAUAGUGCACGACAGAUUUGGAUUUUAAAAAGUUUGUGCGAGAUGGAUGCCGAAAAAGCUGAUGAAAAGGUGAAGACGACGAUGCAUUCGUGGUUCGCAGCUCAGCCCAAAACAUUUUUUAAUGAGAAAAUACAAAGGUCCUUCGGCAAAUGGACAAAGUGUAUACAGAAAUCGAGUGAUUAUGUCAAAAAAUGAUGUAUGUCUUUUUUGACAAUUGCUUAAAAUAAAUUCUACACCGACAGAGCGGGCUGUUAAUCUAGAGGCUGGAGUACAAAGAAGUGGCACAAUGAUGUGGGCUGAUGACAUUUAUAAUUAUCAAGGAAUCACCCCUACAUUCGCUCAGAAUUUUAAUGAAACUGUCCCUUGGGAAGGAAGAACUGAUACCUUGAUAUCACGGUUUGUACAUCCUAUAUAUACGACAAAUUUUAGAACAUUAUAUAAUGAAGAACCAGAUCGUCGUGGCCAUGUGAUGUGAAUAAAAGGACUUGAAUUUGAUGAUAUUUUUAUAAUGUUAGAUAACAUAACUAAGUAUCUUCACAGUAAGAUAGGAUGACAUGGUUUACAUGAUCUUAAUGUUGUUCACUUGAGUGAUGAUAUUAUAAGGAAAAGUGUAAUAUCACAGGAUAUUUAUGUUUAGUAACCAGUAAUUCAGAGAUUGGUAUUCAUGGUUACUAUAACGAGGCUGUAGAAACGCACCCUUUCUUCUUUGCAAAUGGUCCUGUAUUUAUGUCUAAGCCGAAACUGGAACCUCUGAAUAAUUUAGAUUUAUUCUUGUUAUUUUCUAAAAUACUUAUCUACAGUAUACCAUAAGGAAUGAUACCGUAUCGCACCUAAUCAAGUGCCUUAAGAAACAUCAACAGGAUAUCACAGUAAUCCCUUAUCGACAGAUAUUUGUAGCCACUACAAUAUCUAUGACACUGGUAGUAAUUAUAAGAACAAUAAUGAUGUUCUAUAAGAGGAAAUGAUGAUUAGGAACAAAAACUUACAAGAGAUAUCAUGCGGUGGAUGGAUAAUAUGUAAAAAAUAUUAAGCAGUAUAUGAAUUUUCAUAUUGCGUAGAGAUAACAAAAUGAAUUUUAAAAAAUGUCGACAUAGUAAUAAGAAAUAGCAUCAUGACAAAGAAUAUAUAAAGACAGUUUCAUUUUUUAUAAAUAAAAAUUUGUUGUUCCAGAUUUUGAAAUAUAGUGAAACGUUUAAUUAGUAUCUUAAUAUCUUUAAAUAAUUAUUAUUUUAGAAUCAAUUGUAAUUGUAUCAUACGUACUUUUGAAUUCGUGCAAGAACAUAUGUAAUUUUGAAGUAGUUAUUAUUAGGAAAUUGUUAGACGCGAACAGUAUGCGAAAAGUUAGUAUGCAGUGUAAUAAUUAUCAAUCAAAACACAAGAAUUAAAUUCUUGAGGAAAAAAUUUCCGGAAUUUCUUAUUUACAUGAUUAUAAAGAAAUCCAUAAUAAAAAGGAGCUGCUUUCUAAUACUUCUCUUCCUUGUAAUGCCUACGUUAACAAUAACGAGGUUCGACUUCUUGUUUUUAGAGGGAUACUGGAAAAUUUGAAAGUACAGUACCAUUGGGAAGAAAAUCACGAUAUUGAAAACGAUAUUUGCAAAUUGAACAAUAUUCCAGAUUUAUUCAUAAUUUCAUACUACGCGAAGAAUAGACUUUCAUAGGUAUAUAAAGGAAAUAUUAAGUAUAGGAAAACUCUUCUUCGUUGUAGGUGACAUAUGCUUCACGGUUGAAUACAUGUAUUUUUGAACACAUAUAAAUGAAAAAGUACUCUUAUGGAGAAAAAGAAUUGAUACCUUCGAUUGACAUUAGAUAAUGUAUAUAAACUUAUGAACAAUCACUAUCAGUUUGUAUUUUAGGUGCACACGCAGAUUUGUUGGAGUUCUUAUAAAAUGUACUUCCUGUACGAACGUUUUAUUCUUCCAAAUUUUACGAUACUAUGUCUCAUAUAAUAACUUUAUGGAUUAAACGUAAUAUAAAUAAUCCGAAAAUAGACUCGAACGACAUUAAUUGUCUUUCUAUUUAUACCAAUAUGGAAAAUACAAGUAAAGCUGGAGCAAUAGUAUGCAAGAAUGGACUAUUUAUUAUUUUAAACCAAAUCAUAGCAUAUUCAGAAUGCACAGUAUUAUCAUGAAAUGUAAAUGAAUCAGUUGUAAACGAACGAUUUUACUGUAAAAUCAUUGCCUCCUUUUUUUCAUCUGAAAUAUAGCAGCAAUGAGUACAUUCUUUUAAUAUAUAAUAAAACGAGAUAUCUUUAUAAAGUUACAUAUGUCAUCACUGGUAACUGUUAUCUCGUAUGACAUCAAAUAUACCGUUAGUAUGGAAUGAUAUUUUUAUGAAGAUAUACUUUAAUGAUAGAUUUUAUGAAUGAAACGUUAUAUAAGAAAAAUUAUCUCUUGUUAUUCUAUGAAGUGUAGUAGCUAAUGAAGAUUAAUUUUACGAAGUAUUAGAGCAAAAGAGAAUUAAAAAAUUAAAAAGAUCUAAAUAAGA